rnacentral:rRNA from 1 species
CCAGCAGCCGCGGUAAUUCCAGCUCCAAUAGCGUAUAUUAAAGUUGUUGCAGUUAAAAAGCUCGUAGUUGGACUUGUGUGCGGCCCAGAUGUCCUUUUAGGUACGUUCUGGGCUGUGCAUCCUUGGGUGGAACCUGUGUGGCAUUAGGUUGUCGUGCAGGGGAUGCUCAUCGUUUACUGUGAAAAAAUUAGAGUGUUCAAAGCAGGCUUACGCCGUUGAAUAUAUUAGCAUGGAAUAAUAAGAUAGGACCUUGGUACUAUUUUGUUGGUUUGCGCACCGAGGUAAUGAUUAACAGGGACAGUUGGGGGUAUUCGUAUUCCAUUGUCAGAGGUGAAAUUCUUGGA